UGCCACAGUAAUUUCACCCUGCAGUCCAAUACCAGUUACUCACUGAAGCUAAGCAGGGCUGAGCCUGGUCAGUACCUGGAUGGGAGACCACAUGGAAAAACUAAGUUGCUGUUGGAA
ensembl:rRNA 5S_rRNA 5S ribosomal RNA